CAAAAAGCUUCUCUCAGACAGAGUCAUGCUCUUUAAUUUAAUUCAUGUUUACCUUUAUCAGGGCAUGUUUUGUGCUACAAGUGACUGACAUGCUGAAAAGUCCCCUCUUCCUCCGUGAGUGCUCAGACUCGAGCACUUCAGGGCAACAUGCUGAUGCCUCCUCUGUGCUGUUGGCAGCGUUGGACCAUGGUGACUUUUCCAGAGGGGUUCAUUCACUGCGGCGAUGCCGGGAAACCGCCAAAUCAACAUUAAUGGAAGACGUUUUCUAGAGAGAACAUCCCUGAUGUCGUCAUAGAUAUUAAAACAGAAGAUGUGACCUGCGGGGAAGCAGCUGAUUGGGACUGAGUGAAGGAAACGGUGCUGGGGGUGAAAAGUUUUGGCUUACUCUCCAAGUCGUACCAUAUGGCACUGCCUUGACACGACACACCUCCUGCUGGGUCUGGAAUUUGGCUUUCAAGUUCUUGGAAUAACACAUCCCUGCAGAGGAGGCAAAGUGUCCCUCAGAACAGACGACUUAAUAGAAUGGGAUACUCUCAUUUCAUACCAAACAAGAACAAAGCGGAGGCCGGGCACGGAAACUAACAAUGUAGUCUAACCUUGAGACGUGGACGCCAGCAGCGUGCCCUCUUUUACAUUAUUCAUAUGAAAAAUACAAUUUUCACUUAUAUUUUAUUCAUUGGUUUUUCCUUAAACAAUGGGAAGUCAUAUAGUGAUUUUUUUUUUUUUUUUGGCAUGGAGGUCUGACGCAGAAAAGAAAAUGGAUGACGAGGAAAUGGAGUGUUAUUUCUUUCAGCAAUGUUAUGGAUAAAAAUUAAAGAAGAGCAGCUAAGAGAAGAGCUUUUAAAUAAUGACUUCAUCCAUCUUUGAUGUUCCUUAAACGUUAACCUUUUAUGACAGCCAUAGAGGGCAAACACGAUGUCAGAAUGUGUAGAUAUUCAAUCCACUGCUCUGCUGUAUAAAAUACCUGAUGGACAAAUCUCUGCAUACAGAGAGACGGCUACUGGUCCAAUAUACAGGAGGAGAAUGAAGUCAUAGCCUGAGAGAAAUAAGACUGUUGAUACAUCAAUACAAUUGUGAAUGCAAAAUAAUUACAAAUAAAUACU